CCGCCUGUGGCGCAGCUGGAUAACGCAGCAGAUUCCGAUUCUGAAGAACGGAGGUUCGAAUCCUCUUAGGCGGGCCA
rnacentral:tRNA from 1 species